ACCACUAGUUUAAGCCGUUAGUUUAAGAUUUAGGCUAAGCAACUAAAUGAAAUUAAAUAAAGAUGCUAUUGUAUUACAAACCUAGAAAGCGAACGGACGUGUUUUCUUUAUCGGAAUAUUUUAAUUAUUCGCGCAUUCCCAGUAAAGAUUUUUUCGCUUCUCAAAAACGCUUGAGAAUUUUCAGACACAAUACCCAAACAUACAGGAUAUAUUAAAGCAGAUAAUCCAACUUGAAGGCACCAUAACAUUUGAUGAAGUAAUUAACUCCAAUGAAGAAACUAAAUUUACGAAUAUCCGAAAGUUACAUUAACUACUCAUUCCAAUUGAAGAUCACCCGAUCCAAACUACUGCUACACAAUCAUAACCUUUGGAAUUAUAGUCCUGAUAAUUUGGACACUACUCAAAUUAAUUAAACUACGACAAGUUACUCAAGAAAGAAAGAAACUACACGAACUUCAACAACUCACAGCCACCUUUACAUUAUAAAAAUGCGGGCAUUUUAUUUGUUUUUUUUUUUUUUUACAAGAGAGAGGAGAGUUAAUACCGGUAUCAACGACACUUAUACACAAGUAUAUGAGAAACGCUGAUAAAGCCAGUUCUGCCCUAAUCAAAUAAACAAGAGUAUCAAACACAAGACUUUGAACUCAUACCACACCAUACUCGAAUGCAAGACAUGCAUAGACCGCAUGAUAAGCACUUGUUUACAAUAAAUAAUAAAAUUAGACUUUAGACCUAAGCCACAAAACAUGAAUAUGUAUCAGCUUAACGAAUAAUAUAUAACCCAUAGCAUAAUACGAAAACAUGUUCACAUACUUAAUGAAUUUCUAAGAAUAAAGAUCAUAUUCUGCCAAAGAAAAUAUUAAUUUUUUAACCAUUCAUAAGUAUAUGAAUUAACUGGCGCGGUAAGCCAAGAUUUGUUCAUACAGGAAAGGUUGGUCGUCCCAGAAAGGAAUAUCAGAACGUACAGUCAAAGAAGCAUUAGCAAGCGAAUACUUUUUGAGUGGGAGAAAUCUGUGCAAGAUGAAUAUGCGGCAUUAGUAGCCAACAACACUUGGACCUGCCGAAGGGUCAAAAAGUAAUUGGAUCAAGUUGGUUUUUUCUAUUAAACGUGAUCCAGAUGGAAAUAUGGAUGGAGAUUUCAAGUCAAGUUCACAAAUCAAGAAGUAAUUAAUAUAACUGGAUAAAACUUUUAUACUAAUGAUUCCUUUAAAGUAUGCCACUUUGUGACCAAAAACUGUCCAAAUCCAAACAAAACUGUUCAAGGGGAUCUUCAGUGGACUUUUGACCGAAAGUAUCGGUCAAUGUGUGAGAUAUUCAAUUGAAAUCUGCAUAUCAAAAAUGGGUUGAAUCGAGUCAAUACUUCCCUGAGCUCCAUAUACCUAACAUGAAGAUUUUCGUACUUCCAGGUGACCUUAUGCUACAUAUAUGGGCCAAUAGUUGCGUUAUCUCAAUGAAAAUUAGAGAACAUAUUUUACUCAUAACAGAGUAUUUUUGUGUCUAAAAUAGAUACAAUUGGACAAACUUGAUAUAGCUCCCCAUAUAACUAAAAUUAGGAUUUUCCAAUAUCUGGCUGAUUUUGCUCCAUAUAAUUGGUGAUUGUAUGUGAGGUGCCUACCGGGGCAUCUCGACAGGCUAAAGUUUAUUCAACUUAUUAUUUUAAUUGGUGUAUAAAAUUUAUGUUACAAUAUAACAUAUAGUCCGAAAAUAUGAAAUCAUUUUUUUUUUUUCAAGAAAUACAUUUGUAGAAAAAAGUAUAUUUUUCCUUUUUUUAUUUUCCACAUAAAUUCUUUCUAUCCAUAUAAAACUUUAAACAGUUCUGGAGCUCAAAACAUGCGCUACAUCACCUCGAACCUACCUACCCGACGACUUUUCGCAAAUGAUUACGUUAUGAUAACAAAUGCCCAAAUACAGAUUUGACAAUGGUAAUAGCAAUAGAUUUAACAGCUAGCAUGCCAUAAAUUUUAGCCUAUCAAGAUGCCCCGUUAAUGAAACCCAAAGAAAAUUUUUUUAGUAUGUGGCAUGAUAAUAAAAAUUCAUUGAGGGUUUUUAAAAAUUUGGUUUUGAAUAUGACGCGACAUUGGAUAACAGUAGCCAAAAGCUGAUUAAAAUUUUUAUGGAAAAUUUGUGUCGCCAUUGUGGGGUUUUAAAGUGGAAUGAGCAAAGAGCAAGAAUGAGUUGCUCUGGGGGCAAAGUAGUCAUUCCUAUCUUUGAAGAGACUGUGAAAAAACAGUAUUUAGGGGCGACAGUUCAUAAAUUGUUUAAAAAAGAGUAAAAUAAGCUAAAUGAGCCUUAGUCGCCUACUCCAAACCUCUUCUACACACAUCGCUAACACGCUACACUCACCACAUUCACCUCGACAUCACCACACCACAGUCCACAUCAAUACAACCCACAUAUGAGAGCAUCUCACACCCACACAAUCACAUACACACCACACUCGAUUACACGUAGUAGUUUGAAUCAAAAGCGGCCUUUACACGAUCACACAUGUUUGCAAGCAUGUACGGCGUGAUGAGAAGAAUGAACGUGUAAACAUAAUAAAUUCGUGUUCGUCAUACAUGUGUGAUGGUUUUUAAAAUUUUUUAAAAACAUGAUGUUGUUGUGAACAUGUUUUAUGGUGUAAACGCUUGCAUCAUACACGCAGUAUAUUUUUUCAGUCGUAAGCAAACAUCAAAGCGUAAUGGCGUCACGGGUAAAUGAAGAACUGUGGAAGGACUUCUUCGAAAUUUAUCGAAGCCAUCCAGAAGUAUGGAAGGUGAAAAGUGAGGAGUAUAAAAACAAAUCAAAGAAGAAUGCUGCUUAUGAAGCACUGCUAAAAAAAUAUAAGGAUAUAGAUCCAAAAGCUAAUUUAGAAACGUUAAAAUACAAAAUAAACUCACUUCGAGGAUGUUAUCGGCGUGAGUUAAAAAAAAUAAAGCGAAGUGAGAAAUCUGGAGCAGGAAUAGAGGAAAUAUAUGUACCGUCUUUGUGGUACUUUCAUGACCUGGCAUUCUUGGAAGAGCAAGAAACACAGAUGACGGGCAUGUCAUCAAUAGAGAUUGAGGAAAAUGGGGACACGACUGUGGAAGACAAUGCACCUUGCGCAAAAAAAGACAAAGAAGAAUUUGGUAAAAAAGAAAAACAACAGUUGCUUAUUAAAGCAGUCAAAGCUUUAGAAGAUUCGACGCGGCCCAAUGAUGAUGCAAGUACCUUCAGUUCGACUUGGGAAGUCCUCUUCAGGAAACUUGACCCUAAUCAACAAUUAUUUGCCAAUAAAACCAUUAUGGAGGUGUUGUACCAAGGAGCUUUGGGACGGUUGAACGAAAAUUCCCAUCAGAUGUUCAACGUUUUCAACAUUUUUCUUAUAGUGACAACUCGUCAACAUGUUUUGAUUCAAGAACAUUGCAAAGUCGUCCGGAAUACUUAAUUUCACCGCCGCUUCUGAGUCCAACGCAAAUUAUAUCUACUCCUCAACCUGAAGUUCAGCACAUCAGACUUCAUAAAACAGUUCAGCCACAGCAAUAUCAAAAAAUUUCCAGCGUCAACAUACAACCACAGGAAACCAUAAAUACUCAACAAUACGGAAACAACACGGAAUAUCAGACAUUUACGGACUUGUUGAACGACUCUGACUAUUCAUAAGCAAACUUUUCUUUUUAUUUUUGUUAUUUUUAUUGAUUUGAAGAAAUAUUUUAUUUUUGUUUUGUUUUCCAUUUUCAUGUAAUACAUAUGUACAUUAUAUGCUUACUGAAAUAAAA